rnacentral:pre_miRNA from 1 species
AGGAGGAAGAGCCCCAGUGGUGGGUCCGCUCUGGAAACCUGGAUUCAGCCCCCGCAGUAGCUCCGGAGCUCUCCGUCUGCAGGGCCUGGAGGCUCCGGGGCGGG